GUGAUGGACAGGGAGGCCUGGCAUGCUGCAGUCCAUGGAGUCGCAAAGACUCGGACACGACUGAGCGACUGAACUGAACUGAACUGUAUGGGUUUUCCAGGGCUACCGUAAUGAAAUAUCACAGGUUGGGUGGCUUAAACAACAGAGAUGUAUUCUGUCACAGCUCUGGAGGCCAGAAGUCUCAGGUGAAGGCGUCAGCAAGGUUGGCUCCUCCUGAGGGCUGGGGGCGCGCAUCCACCCCAGGCCCUUUCCCCCAGCUCCUGGUGGUCUUAGGUGCCCCUGGCCUUGCACAUGGCAUUCUCCAUGAGUCUUCCUGCCACUUUCUGUGCUUUUCUGUCUCUGUGUCCAAAUUUCCCCCCUUUUAUAAGGAUACUAUUCCUAUUGGAUGAGGGACCUCGUUUUAACAUAUUUACCUUUUUAAAGAACGAUCUCCAAACAUCGUUGCAUCUCCCCCUACGUCACCGUCAUGGAAAUGCUAUUUUAUAUUUUCUACUAAAUAAUUUCAAGCUUUGUUUCUCACAUUCUGGCCUUGGUCAAUCUGGGCUUUAUUUGCGAUGGAUGAAAAAAAAAUCUAAUUUUGUUUUCCCUGUUGGAUUGCCAAUGGCUGGACUCAUUCCUGGUUUCCCUGGUGUGCCGAGGCCCCAGCAUCCUGACCCCUGAUGUCCACAUCCAUGGCACACCGGGAUUUUCCUCUGAAGGGCUCAGUGCUCGGAGCGGAGCCGUCUGUGCCUGCUCCCAGGAGGAGUUGAGCUGGAGCCCGCAGCAGUGGCUGUGCCCUGCUGGAAGGGGCUGCAGAGAUGGAUUCUAGUUUCCUGGGGUGGCCAUAACAAAUGACUGCAAACUCAGUGCCUUGAAACGACAGACAGGUUUUCCUCUCAUAGCUCUGGAGGCCAGGAGUCUGCAGUCAUGGCAUCAGAAGUGUUGAUUCCUUCUGGAAGCUGCAAGAGAGAAUCUGUCCCGGGCCGCUCUCUGAGCUUCUCGUGGCCUUUGGUGGUUCUUGGCAGUCAUCGGCCUAUGGAUGGGCCAGUCCAGUUUCUGCUUCAUCUCACGUGGUCUCCUCCUCCAUGUCUGUGUCAGUUUCCCCUUCUCUCCUAAGCAUUGCUAGUGGAUUUAGGGCCCACCCUAAUCUGUAAGGAUGUCACCUGAGAUCCUGUAUUACGUUUGCCAAAACCUUUUUGAAAGUCAGGUCAUAUCCACAAGUUCUAGUGGACAUGGCUUUUGGGGGCCACUAUUCAGCCCACUCUAGGUCUUAUCUGCAGUGGGAAGGUGAGUUUCUACUCACUGGGGCAGCAACAGUGACCCUCCUUCAGCAGUCGCUUUCUCUCACUGACGUGCACUGCCUUCUGGCUCCUUUGCUGGGUGAUCUGGGAGCCCAGUCGGCAGUUUUCCUUUUGUUCCUCCUGGACUCCCCAGUCCAGUGAUGAGUUAUCCCACUUCUGGAAAUGUGUCUUAAGGAACUGACUCAACAGCAUGAGAAAAAAGAUCUUCUUGUUGUUGCCUUGUUGAUAACACUGAAAAGUUGGACGUAACCCCUAGGAGAGAAGGUAAUUACUUAAUUACUUAAUUACUUCAAUAAUUACUUUAAUAACACUUGCUCCUCACCCAGACUGACUGAGAGACUUAGAAGCAGCUGGGGCGAGGAUGGAGCAGGAUAAGAGGGGACCGUUGCCGCCUCCCUGGUGAGGGGGAUGUUCCACUUGUGAUGGCCUGGAGGGUCACAUGAUGUCAGUAAGGAAGUGGACACCCAGGGAAGUCUUGGGUGUGAUAAGCUGGUCUGAAUCCAUGAGACUAAGCCAUGAGGGAAAUGUUUUCUCUGGUGGACCAGGCUGAGCCAGGAAGGAGGCUUCGGGAGGAGGGCAGCCUGACGAAGUCUGCAGGAACCUCCUUACUUUGCUGGGACCCAUGACCGGCCACCAAAAUCACAAAAACAUGGCAACACAGAAGGGUGCCUGAUUAGGUGAAAAGUACGGCAUAAAAAUUGAGUGAGAGAAGUGCCUAGAAAAAUAGAAUUGCCCUAUGACCCAGAAAUCCUACUUCUGGGCAUCUACCCGUAAGGAAAAACAGAAAUUCAGAGAGAUGUGUGUCCAUCUGUAUUCAUAGCAGCAUUGUUCCCAAUAGUCAAAAGGUGGAAAGAACCCAAAUGUCCAUUAUCCCCAAAUAAAUGGAUGAACCAAGUGUGGUCUAUCCAUGCAGUGUAAUAUUAUUCAGCCUUAAAGAGGUAGGAAAUUCUGACACACAUUACAUCGUUGAUGAACCUCGAUCAUUACUUCUAAAUGAAGUAAGCCAAACGCAAAGGACAAAUACUAUAUAAUCCCCUGACAUGAGGGACCUGGGGCAGUCAGAUUAUUCAUAGAAACAGAAAGCAGAAUGUGGUCGCUGGGGCGGGUGGGAAGGGGAGGGGAGUUCGUGUUUAAUUUGGGAAGUUACACAGUUCUGUACAUGAAUGGUGAUGAUGGUUGUGUCACGAGGACAAACACAACACUGCAGAGCUUUGUGCACGUAACAGGUGGUUAGGAUGGAGUACACUAUGUGUAUUUCACCAGAAUUUUCUUAGGGAAAGGAUGCCUAGUAUAGUAGCUGACUGGCUGGGGGAAGGGGGUGUUCAAAUCCCAGCCACGCCUCUCUGUGCGUUCUUUUGUCCCUCUGGCUCUAUUGCUCCUGCUCAGACGCUGGGUGGUAGUGAGGGUCCUCUGCUCUGUGGGAGGCUCCGGGCAGCAGGGGCGGGCGGCAGGCCUUCACCAAGUCACAUCAUCAAAUACGGGCAUGGAUUUCCUCUGUUAUGAGGUCUGUGACCUUGCACAAGCUGCCUCUCUUUUCUGAGCCUGUUUCCUUGUCGGUAGGAACAGGGACAGUCACAUGACUGAUGAUAAAGCAUGAGUGUCCUCUGAAUGGCCCAGGCGGGAGUGCUUAGCUGAGCAGGCCCUCCGCAGGGGUGAGUUCCUUUUCCGGAGCUCCACGUCAGAAAGAGAUGCCUGUGGACAGUGCUGACAUGAUUCUUGUUGCCCAGGAUGGACUCAGGCAGCAUAUAUCCAGGUAUUGUAAGUCACGUACUAUCCUUUUAUACGCCCAGAAGGUCUGGCAGGAUAUUCACCAAGGUGUGAACAACGGGUGAUAGGAUGGCAGCUAGGAAUUUCCCUUAAUCUCAGUUCAGGGAGCUCUUGAGCAAAUAUCCUGACACCUCUAAA
rnacentral:lncRNA from 1 species